UGUGAUGCUCCCAUCAAAAACCGCUGGUUUUGGGAGCAUGAUACUCCCAUCAAACCUAGGCCGUAGGAUGUGAUUGUUUUAAUCCUGGCCAUUCAUUAAAUCCCUGAAUGCAAUUCAUCUCUCUCCUCUCUUUAUCUCAGCACCUGCUAUUCCGGUUGCAUCUAAUACAUCCGAGUAAAAGAAACAAAAAAGGUACGCAUCACAGGUAAAAAUUUUGAGCCCUAAUCGCCGCUCUCUCGUCGUCUCUCCUCUCAUCAAUCGUCGUCUACCUCUCCGACGCCUCAAUAGCCGGACGCCUCCACCUCCACAGCUCUAAACGCCUCUAUCUCUCUCCCUUCUGCACAGUCAACGGAAACCCUCACCACUCUUCCACCUCUAUACCUCCAUAGCCCCUAAACAAACAACGACGAGCCCUCUCUCGUCCUCAACAGUCAGUCACAACGAAAAGCCCUCUCCAUUGUGCGAGGUCUAUUUGUUUUAGGAGUUGAAAAUGGUUAAAGAAGACCGUAAUGCUGUUCCAAAGCAUCCUUGUAAUGGAUGGAUAUAUUUCUUUUGAGAUUCACUUCUGAAGAGGGUAGGAACAACUUGAUUUUGGACUUGAUCCUUUGUGGGGAGAACGUAAUCAGGAAUGAAGUCAUCCGAAAGGCUCAAGAAAAAUACCGCAACACUAGAAGGAUAAUUUGAUACCAUGGCGCCUUUGUGGCUUUUGUUGUAAACUUGAUUUCAAUCAUGUUGUAAACUUGAUGAAUGUGAGGUGCCUUUGUGGCUUUUGUUGUAAACUUGAUAUGGCAAAUACUGCCUUCAAUUUAGAUCAUUCUAUUGUUUGUUGCUAUUGUAAUGGUAGCAGCUCGUUGUAAUGGUAACAGCUCGUUGUAAUGGUGAUCUAUUUUGGACAGUUUUCUGUUGCUGUUGCUAUUUCUUCUGCUGCAGGUGUUGGGUAAUCUGUUGGAUGGCUGUUUUGCUAUUGAACUGCUGCUGCUGUCCAGGUGUUGUGCUGC